rnacentral:rRNA from 1 species
CAGCAGCCGCGGGAAUACAGAGGGUGCGAGCGUUAAUCGGAUUUACUGGGCGUAAAGCGUGCGUAGGCGGCUUUUUAAGUCGGAUGUGAAAUCCCUGAGCUUAACUUAGGAAUUGCAUUCGAUACUGGGAAGCUAGAGUAUGGGAGAGGAUGGUAGAAUUCCAGGUGUAGCGGUGAAAUGCGUAGAGAUCUGGAGGAAUACCGAUGGCGAAGGCAGCCAUCUGGCCUAAUACUGACGCUGAGGUACGAAAGCAUGGGGAGCAAACAGGAUUAGAUACCCCAGUAGUCCCUGUCUCUUAUAU